rnacentral:rRNA from 1 species
CCCUUAGAUGUUCUGGGCCGCACACGCGCUACACUGAAGGAGGCAGCGUGUACUCCUGGAUCGAAAGAUUUGGGUAACCCGCGAAUCUCCUUCGUGCUAGGGAUUGAGGUUUGCAAUUAUCCUUCAUGAACGAGGAAUUCCCAGUAAGUGCAAGUCAUAAGCUUGCGCUGACUACGUCCCUGCCCUUUGUACACACCGCCCGUCGCUACUAUCGAUUGAAUGAUUUAGUGAGGACUUCGGACUGGGACCGAUGCGGCUUUCGGGCUGCGUCGGUAUUCUGGAAAGAUGUCCAAACUGUAUCAUUUAGAGGAAGUAAAAGUCGUAACA